GGUGCGAAAGCGUGGGGAGCAAACAGGAUUAGAUACCCUGGUAGUCCACGCCGUAAACGAUGUCUACUUGGAGGUUGUGCCCUUGAGGCGUGGCUUCCGGAGCUAACGCGUUAAGUAGACCGCCUGGGGAGUACGGCCGCAAGGUUAAAACUCAAAUGAAUUGACGGGGGCCCGCACAAGCGGUGGAGCAUGUGGUUUAAUUCGAUGCAACGCGAAGAACCUUACCUGGUCUUGACAUCCACAGAAGAAUCCAGAGAUGGAUUUGUGCCUUCGGGAACUGUGAGACAGGUGCUGCAUGGCUGUCGUCAGCUCGUGUUGUGAAAUGUUGGGUUAAGUCCCGCAACGAGCGCAAC
rnacentral:rRNA from 1 species